GACGAACGCUGGCGGCGUGCUUAACACAUGCAAGUCGAACGGAAAGGCCCGGUCUUGGUGGGGUGGUCGAGUGGCGAACGGGUGAGUAACACGUGAGUAACCUGCCCCUGACUGUGGGAUAACCUCAGGAAACUGGGGCUAAUACCGGCUAGGAGCUCUUGCUGCAUGGUGGGGGUUGGAAAGUUUCGGCGGUUGGGGAUGGACUCGCGGCUUAUCAGCUUGUUGGUGGGGUAGUGGCUUACCAAGGCUUUGACGGGUAGCCGGCCUGAGCGGGUGACCGGCCACACUGGGACUGGGAUGCGGCCCGGACUCCUCCGGGACGCAGCAGUGCGGAAUAUUGCACAAUGGGCGGAAGCCUGAUGCAGCACCGCCGCGUGCGGGAUGACGGCCUUCGGGUUGUAAACCACUUUCGCCUGUGACGAAGCGAGAGUGACGGUACCGGGUAAAGAAGCACCGGCUAACUACGUG
rnacentral:rRNA from 1 species